AGCGAACUGAUUAAAAGCUUGCUUCUAUGACGUUAGCGGCGGACGGGUGAGUAACACGUGGGCAACCUGCCUGUAAGACUGGGAUAACUUCGGGAAACCGAAGCUAAUACCGGAUAGGAUCUUCUCCUUCAUGGGAGAUGAUUGAAAGAUGGUUUCGGCUAUCACUUACGGAUGGGCCCGCGGUGCAUUAGCUAGUUGGUGAGGUAACGGCUCACCAAGGCAACGAUGCAUAGCCGACCUGAGAGGGUGAUCGGCCACACUGGGACUGAGACACGGCCCAGACUCCUACGGGAGGCAGCAGUAGGGAAUCUUCCGCAAUGGACGAAAGUCUGACGGAGCAACGCCGCGUGAGUGAUGAAGGCUUUCGGGUCGUAAAACUCUGUUGUUAGGGAAGAACAAGUACGAGAGUAACUGCUCGUACCUUGACGGUACCUAACCAGAAAGCCACGGCUAACUACGUGCCAGCAGCCGCGGUAAUACGUAGGUGGCAAGCGUUAUCCGGAAUUAUUGGGCGUAAAGCGCGCGCAGGCGGUUUCUUAAGUCUGAUGUGAAAGCCCACGGCUCAACCGUGGAGGGUCAUUGGAAACUGGGGAACUUGAGUGCAGAAGAGAAAAGCGGAAUUCCACGUGUAGCGGUGAAAUGCGUAGAGAUGUGGAGGAACACCAGUGGCGAAGGCGGCUUUUUGGUCUGUAACUGACGCUGAGGCGCGAAAGCGUGGGGAGCAAACAGGANUAGAUACCCUGGUAGUCCACGCCGUAAACGAUGAGUGCUAAGUGUUAGAGGGUUUCCGCCCUUUAGUGCUGCAGCUAA
rnacentral:rRNA from 1 species